AAGGCUAGGAUGAUGGUUCAUUACUUCAAUGCGCACUUCAUGACACUUAGGAAAAACUUAUGCAUCAAUUCAAAGUACCUUAAAUGAUUCAUGAUCACUUAGAAGGUAGAUUUGAAAUGAUGAAAGUUCAUCAAGUACCAAUCCACACAUCAUGAACAAGAUGGACACAAGCCAUCCAAUUAAUCAAAGGGAAAAAGAAGGAGAUGAAGAAGAAGGAAUCAAGAGAAGU
rnacentral:lncRNA from 1 species